CCCAAACAGGGCGUGGGGGGCUUUGGGGUCCGGGCUCGGGUCCGUCCCGGCGGCAGCGUCUUGUCUACACUAGGACCCUACAACGAAGAUUGAGGAGCCGAUGAGAGGGAUGCGGUUCUUCGGGUGACCUCGCUGUGUGUUUCCGUCCCAGACCAUGUUUGUGUGGCCUUCACCUUUCCCCGGAGCUCUGGAGCGGGUGGCACUGAAUGCACAGGACACGGGGAGUGCGAGAAACUAAAUUCUACUUGGUGAUUUCAAAGGAGGAACAAAGACGGACGCCUGUCCCCACUCCCAGCCCAGCCCAACGCGGGACCUUUCACCCCCAGCCCAGCACCUGGCCGCGCCCAACGCCCGCCUGAACCAGCAACAUCUGUAAACAGUCUAGCCAGCACAUUGUCAAAGGCCUAUUCAGGUUGAAUGGCCCAUCGGGAAAAACAACAGGUUACGGGAAAAGCUUAUCCUCACCCGACGGUCUUUCCUGUGGACGCUUCAGCCAGGGCAUGAGUAAUGGCUGCCAGAACUCACCCAAGCUUGCGAGGGCACGAGACUAGAUCAUGUGAUACUGGACUCCAUCUUGUUGCUGGUACUUUUCCACAAACUCCUGCUUGAAACUGAGAAGUUCCUGCCGCCUGCAAGAAGCUAUCACAGGGGGAAGUGACAUCACCACUGGGCCUCUCUCCCCCUACAACUCAACCCCGGGAAACACCUCAGGAACCAAGAGUGAACUGGGGAAUGGGGGAGUCCAAGGCGGGACUCCUGCCUGCGUACGCAAAACUGUAACCUGCGUGUUCUAGCUAGCAGGGUGAGACACUGCUGGAUUCAAAUCCUCUCUCGUUUAUAUGGCUCAGAUUGUGUUUUAUUUCUCAUGGUAAUCUGCUUUGAGCUAUACGCUCACUACAUAUAAUUACUUAAACUCUGCCUGUCUCAGUGAGUCAGGGAGCCCAGAUUGGCAGGCCAGAGGGCUCAGCGGGACCCCACUUCCAGCUUGCACCCUGGGGAAACCCGUCACAAAGGUACCGAGGGAAUGAAUGUUAAGAAGCUUCACUUCUCUAUACCCCUGUGCUCUCCCUUUCUUAACCCACAGUCCCCAAAUGCUCGAUUGCCCCAGCACCCGGAUUCCCCUGCUUCCUAGUUCUAGCAGCCCCAACGCUUCAAUCCCUGGUUUCCCCCACAAAACCCAUCCUCCUGGUCCCUCAGUAUUCGAUCCCCCAGGACAGCGUCAGCUUCACCUGGAGCAUUUGCCACCCUGAGGACAUCUCGGAGGUUUCUUCCCCAGGUGGAUUUGCUGGUGCCUGGUCCUUCGGGCGCAGCCUACUGAAGCUUUGCCCGGUCAAGGCCUCCCUGUCGCGUGGAUCACUGAUGUGUGAACUCAGAUUGAAUCUAGUCAAGCCAUUUCUAGGGUCUCUCGCCCUGGUGGAGUCUCAGGUGGUAGGUAACCCUGAGCUC